rnacentral:lncRNA from 1 species
GAGACCGCGGCGGUACUGGGAGGGGUAGGUGAGGGUCGCGAGGCUGCCUGAGCUUCUGAGUGAGCAUGGCGCUUUUCGAACGCGGGACUGGCGACCUGCUGCUCUAGGAGUGGGGCCGAGGCGGGGCGGCGCGGCUACCGGCUGCUCUCUGGAUGGGAAGUUACCGCGAAGUCCACCCAGCCUUUCCGAGGCAAUCUGAAGGCAAAUCCUGUUUCGACCCAGGCGAAAGUUCCUGGUGAUCCAGGCUCUCACCAGCCGAUUGUCCCUUCCUGUCUUCCUGAGGGUGUCUGGAGCUUCAGUGUUGUGUGCUCUUGGCCUCCACGCUGGGGUGCCACCGACUCCCACUGUCCAGGGCUUCUGGUGGACUCUCCGAGGCACUGAUGCAGAAACAUCCCCAUUCGGUGCACCAAGAGCAGCCUCACACGGUGUGGGCUGACAUGAAGAGCUGCCGGAUCCAACAGAAAUGUGAUUGAUAACAGUAAAGCCGCACUCCUUAUGUGCCUGAAAUAUCCCUCAUUGUCUUCUUCAGGUGGCAAGGGCUCUGGAACAGCCACAUAAAGGACAGUCCUCUCACCAGUCUCAACCAGCCAAUGGAUUGACAAACCUCCAGAUAUGAGUCAGUGGAGAAGGCGCUCCCUUGUCAACAAAUUUUGUAGAAACAACUGGACAUGCAUAUCCCCAAAGGAAAAAAAUUCACCUGAACCUCAAUACUCACUCAAAAACUAACUCAAAAUGGAUUAUGCAACUAAAUAUAAACUAUAAUACUAGAAAAGCAUAGCAGAAGUAGGAGGAUAGGAGAGAGCAAGUCCACCUAGGAUGAUGACCGCUGAAUUUCUCAACGGACACUUCAAAGCCCUAGAGGUUAGAGAGUCAAAACUCCCACCUGUAACCCUGGCCCUAAACACCUGGGCUAGGGAACACUGUGGCCCUCAGGAGAUUGUCUUUAGCUGGGUCUGAGAGCCACACAACUGCAGAGGGAGCAGGAGACACUAUGCAAAUCGAGGCCAGAACAGCAGGGCGGGCCUGUUCAUGACAGAACACAGGUAAAACUACCCUCAGAAAGAGCGUGUGGAGAAACAGAUCAUGCCUGAGACCUGGUGGAUUAGAGCACUGGCUACUGGGGAAUUGAAAGGAAGGGGCUUCACCGUGCAGAGGACCAGAGGUGCCAAUCUUGGAAACGCAGAAUUGCUGGGAGAUGGGGAGGCAGGAACAGAGGAAGCAUCCUCUGGAGACUCGUGGUGAAGAGAACACAUGAACGAAGUAACUGGCAGAAAUUAGAGGUCCUGGUAGAACAAAAUUGAAUCCCACAAUGAGAACAUACACCGUGUAUGUCCCCCAGGGAAGACAGUAUCUCCUAAAAACUCAAGAAAAAUCAUUUUGGGCGAGUACCUUAUAUCCAGUCAUGCGAUCCAUGCAAGACCAUGAGAAAAGAUUAUUAAACAUGCUAAGCUCAGCGAGACCUGAUUCCCUCAGGAGGACUCUGUUAAGGAUGAGUACCACUCAGCAAGUGAUGACUGUGACAUUCACUUUUGAAUAGCUCAUGAGCAUUAAUAUAUUUAAUUGUGGAUCUAACCAAAAACCAAGGUGGGGCCAAGAUGACAAUCACAGAAUGUCACUGGUGUAUGUUUAGGUUCAAAUACUAUUAUGAGAAGUGGCAGGCCGGGCGCGGUGGCUCACACCUGUAAUCCCAGCACUUUGGGUGGCUGAGGCGGGCUGAUUACAAGGUCAGGAGAUCGAGACCAUCCUGGCUAACACGGUGAAACCCUGUCUCUACUAAAAAAUACAAAGAAAAAAAAAAA